rnacentral:rRNA from 1 species
UGAGGAAUAUUGGGCAAUGCCCGCAAGGGUGACCCAGCAACGCCGCGUGGAGGAUGAAUGUCGUAAGAUUGUAAACUCCUGUUAGAGGGGAAGAAUAGUACCGGUUGGACCGGUAUAUGACUGUACCCUCAGAGAAAGCCCCGGCUAACUACGUGCCAGCAGCCGCGGUAAUACGUAGGGGGCAAGCGUUGUCCGGAUUUACUGGGUGUAAAGGGCGCGCAGGCGGGAUAAAAAGUCAGUGGUGAAAUCCUACAGCUUAACUGUAGAACUGCCUUUGAUACUUUUAUUCUUGAGUUCGGGAGAGAGAGAGACGGAAUUCCAGGUGUGGUGGUGAAAUACGUAGAUAUCUGGAAGAACACCAGUUGCGAAGGCGGUCUCUUGGUCCGACACUGACGCUGAGGCGCGAAAGCGUGGGGAGCAAACA